AUGGAGCCCGCCCCCACGUCGCCCGAUCCGGCGCCCCGCUCCCCGGCGCCGUCGCCGUCGCCGGCCAAGAGGUCCGCCUGGAAGCAGCCCUCCCCCUCCGCCGCCGCCAACGGCGCCCCGCACGCCGACGCGCCGCCGCCGCCGGCCGUCAUGGACGCCGACCACUNNNNNNNNNNNNNNNNNNNNNNNNNNNNNNNNNNNNNNNNNNNNNNNNNNNNGCCCCCCUCCGACUCCCCCAAGCCUCCCCCGGACCCCUCCCCCGCCAACGCCGCCGCCGCCGCAUCGGCCAUGGCGAACCCGUCCAACUCGCCCCGGCACGGCGGCUCCGGGACGCACCACGGCCGCCACAAGACAGCUAGGCGCGGGGGCGCCGGCGGCAGCGGCGGGGGUGGAGACCACUCCCCGCGGGAUCACCAGGAGAGGAGCCCCGGCGGCUGGGACCAUGGCGGCGGCGGUGGCGGCGGGAGGGGCGGCCAGAGAAGCCACCACAACAACGGCGGCAGGAGGGGCGGUGGCAACGGUGGCCCGGGCGGCCCAGGAGGUGGUGGAGUUCCUCACCACGGCGGGUUUGGCGGACGCCGGAGAGGCGGGUUUGAUGGUGGCUUCUUCCGUGGCCCCGGGAUGGGCAUCGGGCCGUACAUGCGGGGGGCGCCGCCGCCGCCCCCGCCGCUGGCCGUCGCUCCUCCCUUCAUGGGCCACCCUCCGCCUCCCGGCUCGCAUAUGCGAGCCUUUGCUGGACCGAUGAUGGCGUUUCAUGAUAUGCCAUCACCAGUGUCUCCUGUUUCCCCAAUGUACUAUGUUGGGCCUCCGCCGCUUCCAGAGGCUCUUAGGGGAAUGGCAUUCGCACCUCAUAUGGUCGGCCCACCUGCUUAUCCCUACUUUCAGCCCCCGGCUGAGCCUGAGCCUGAGCCUGAGCCUGAGCCCGAGACUGAGCCUGAGCCCGUGGCUGAGCCGGAUUCCGAGGCUAAACGCCAGAAGCUGCAGAACCAGUUUGAGUUCUACUUCAGCAAGGACAACUUAUGUGGAGAUGUUUACUUGCGGCAACAUAUGGAUGAGGAGGGCUUUGUAUCGGUCCCUUUUAUGUCAACAACUUUCAAUAAGGUCCGGGAAAUCACUGCCGAUAUUCCUAACGCCAAUUUGCAGUAUAUAAUAGAAACAAUUCAGUCCUCAUCUAUACUGGAAGUGAAGGGCGACAAAGUUAGGAGGAAAGAUGACUGGGACAAAUGGUUAAUUCCGAAAGAGAGCAACCCUAAUAUUCCGUCAAGCUCUGCAGCAGCUGUGCCAAGCCCCAGCACCAAUGUCAAUGAUCUGACAGCACAGCUUGGAGGUGUGGGCCUGCAAGAACCAGCUGGCCCUAGUAGCACGGUGGACCAGAACCAUCAUGAGGUGGUCCAGAAUGGAUCGGCUUCCAGCAAUAACCCAGCACCGGCAGCUGAAGAAAGCGCUGGCCAGCGCUAG
rnacentral:rRNA from 1 species